rnacentral:rRNA from 1 species
GGAUUAGAUACCCUGGUAGUCCACGCCCUAAACGAUGUCAACUAGUUGUUGGUAGAGUAAAAUCUAUGAGUAACGCAGCUAACGCGUGAAGUUGACCGCCUGGGGAGUACGAUCGCAAGAUUAAAACUCAAAUGAAUUGACGGGGGCCCGCACAAGCGGUGGAUUAUGUGGAUUAAUUCGAUGCAACGCGAAAAACCUUACCUGGCCUUGACAUGUACCGAAUUUGGGAGAGAUUCCUUAGUGCUCGAAAGAGAACGGUAACACAGGUGCUGCAUGGCUGUCGUCAGCUCGUGCCG